CACGUAGGGGGCGAGCGUUGUCCGGAUUUAUUGGGCGUAAAGAGCUCGUAGGCGGCUCAGUAAGUCGGGUGUGAAAACUCCAGGCUCAACCUGGAGACGCCACCUGAUACUGCUGUGGCUAGAGUCCGGUAGGGGAGCAUGGAAUUCCUGGUGUAGCGGUGAAAUGCGCAGAUAUCAGGAGGAACACCAGUGGCGAAGGCGGUGCCUCUGGGCCGGAACUGGACGCUGAGGAGCGAAAGCGUGGGGAGCAAACAGG
rnacentral:rRNA from 1 species